rnacentral:rRNA from 1 species
AACGAACGCUGGCGGCAGGCUCAACACAUGCAAGUCGAACGAGAUCUUCGGAUCUAGUGGCAGACGGGUGAGGAACACGUGGGAACAUCCCUUUCAGUUCGGAAUAACGUUGGGAAACUAACGCUAAUACCGGAUACGUCCUUCGGGAGGAAGAUUUAUCGCUGAAAGAUUGGCCCGCGUCUGAUUAGCUAGUUGGUGAGGUAAUGGCUCACCAAGGCUACGAUCAGUAGCUGAUCUGAGAGGAUGAUCAGCCACAUUGGGACUGAGACACGGCCCAAACUCCUACGGGAGGCAGCAGUGGGGAAUAUUGGACAAUGGGCGCAAGCCUGAUCCAGCCAUGCCGCGUGAGUGAUGACGGCCUUCGGGUUGUAAAGCUCUUUUGUCCGGGAAGAUAAUGACUGUACCGGAAGAAUAAGCCCCGGCAAACUUCGUGCCAGCCGCCGCGGUAA